rnacentral:rRNA from 1 species
UACAGAGGGUGCAAGCGUUAAUCGGAAUUACUGGGCGUAAAGCGUGCGUAGUCGGUUAUUUAAGUCGGGUGUGAAAGCCCCAGGCUCAACCUGGGAAUUGCAUUCGAUACUGGAUAGCUAGAGUUCGGCAGAGGGAAGCGGAAUUCCCGGUGUAGCGGUGAAAUGCGCAGAUAUCGGGAAGAACACCCGUGGCUAAGGCGGCUCUCUAGUACGGUACUGACGCUGAGACGCGAAAAGCGUGGGGAGCGAACAGG